rnacentral:lncRNA from 1 species
CCAGAGGUAGCAAACGUUGUGCGAAGCUAUGACUAUUCCAAAUUGGCCCUUGAGUACGUUGAGCCACCCGGCCUUUCACUGCCUUAGGAGCUGGUCGCGCGUCGUGUCGAUAAGCAGCUGGCCGGCUGUUGCGUGCGAGCUAUGCCACGAAGAGCGUCGUGGUGUUGCUUCCUUUUCAUGGCAUAGCUCGCACGCAAGGUCCUGAGCGUGUCUGCAUCCAUGCCAGCUACAAAUCUUGAAAAUUCAGCUGAGCGUGUGUUCAUACGUACAGGGUACACCUUGAAUUGGCCUCCAUUAUCGAAAGGAUCAACUGGUGUGUGUUGACAGUUGAUCAAUUCAAACUUGGGUGUGUGCGUCCAAUACAUACCGCCUACAAUCCAAACUUGUUUACAAUUCCAUUAUAAAUAGACCAGGAAGCAGCAGGGUGCAUGACCAUACAAGAGAAGAGACCGGUCGUUGUGCAAUAGACUUUGUUUUGCCAAAGCAUGGGUUCGAGUUGGAGGUACCAGUACAUGAAGACGGUCCUUCUCCUUGUUAUGCAGCAGCUCAUUCUGGCAAUCUCUGUACGUGCGACCAGAGAUCUCUUCCAGCGCGACCCUGGUACGUGCUCAAGCCUUGUAGUGUACAUUUAGAUAUACUGAAAUUGCAUAUUUCUCAUGUAUAUUUUUCAUUCUGAAACACUUACUAAGUAUGACUGAUGGGUUGCACUUAUUAAUACAGCAAAGUUUCACAUAAUUGUUUUUACCACGGGGUAUUACUUGCUUGAUUUUCAAUAUCACCCUAGUUGCACACCGGUAACCGGGUGUGCAACUGAACUACCUUUUUUUGACAUCCAACUAGCAGAUUUUUUUCAUGAGUGUUAGGGUGUGUACAAUAGUACUAUCGGACACAUAUGAUAAAUACUAAUGUGGGGGAGAGAGAAAUCAGAAGAAGAUGAUUGCCUUGUUUUAAGUAAGAGAUGAUCUCUUAGCAACACUAUCUCUCACAAUAUAUCUAGUGAUAUCUACUUACUAGAGAUAAAGGCUAAGAGAUAACUCAUUGUACACCAUUUUUAUUGCCUUCUCUAAAUUAUUGAGUUGUCGACCUUUUCCAUAAUUGUUGUACUCCCUCCGUCUCAGUUUACAAGUCCUACACAUAUACCUAGGUUGUUAAUUUUAUCACCCUAAUAUAAACUAUAUAACAAAAAAAUAUAUCUUUAGAAAAUAGAACAUCUGAAGUUUAUAUUGGUAUAUUUUUUGUAAUAUAUAACUUAUAUUAGGUUGGUUAAAUUGACAACCUAGGGGUACGCGCACGCCUUGUAAACUGAGAGAGAGGGAGUAUGUGUCCUACUAUUAAUGUAAUUAUAUAGUUUUGCAUCUGCUCCAAAUAUAUGGUGUGCUUGAUUAUUUGAAAGUUUCCAUUUCAUAAUUUUGGCUACAAUUUUAUUUUAUGUUAUGUGGAAAAUUAGUAAAAUGGUUUAUGGCGUAGAGGUAUAUUUCGGUCAAUACGAAGUAGUUAUUUUUACAUGUCCCAUCUCUGUACUUUUGCAUAUCUUAGUGGUCAAAGCUUUAAAACAUUAAUUCCCAUGUUUACUUAUGCACCUUGUAUUUUGAUACAGAUUGGGUGUUCAUCAUACGCAUGUACUUCGUAUAUGCUCUCACGCUGUCCAUGUCAUCACAUUUUCAUGAAGAAUACACAUUUAUACUGAAGAAUUUGCAUGCCUUAUUUCUUCUGAUUGAUAAUAAUAAUUCCAAGUAUUGCAAUUAGAACAUAUUUCCAAUGCUAAAAAUAGCACAUAGUUAAUGAUUCGCUACUAAAAAUUUGCAAGAACAGAAAUAAAAAGUAUUUGCACUUUGAGAUCCACUUAUUUUUUUGCCCAAGUUGUCAUGCAUGAAUUAUUGCGGGUAACAUCUGUACUAUUAAAAAAAUGGUUUUGCCAAUCUUUUUGCCCCACUCUUUGCUAUAUGUACGUACACAUCUAUUCCUCUUUUGUUUUUAAAUCUGGAUAGAGAUUUUCUUUUAAUCCCCACGUGAAGAACUUAUACAACUCCAAGAAAAGGUGAAGCUAUUCUAUGUGGGGUACUAUUAAAGUAGGAGUCUGUGUUGAUUUUUUUAACACUAAAAAAUGAGUCCAUGUUGAUAAAGCUGCUGGUGCCGUGGUGCGUAUUCUGCCUACACACCAUUUUUUGUCCUGAGAAUCGCAUAGACACCUUUCUUUUUUUGGACGUGUUAUGCUUGGACUCUUUUGUUUGCUAGGUUCUCACGGACUAUUCCAUAUAGGAGUUGGCUGCCGUAUUUUGCAUUACCAACGCCUGCUUAUCAGUGAUUGUCUCAAUCGGACAGUUUUUCCUAAAUCUUUCUUUAUAAUAGGAAAAAGCAUACGUGUUGAACUAUUCGUACGUCCAUGCCAAAAAAAGAAGAUCUAUUCGUACGUGCCGUAUCAAACUAUGUUGUAGUACGUGAUAAUAUUUCUAUGUAACUCUACAUCUCUUAAAUCUCGGCCAUUGAUAUCUAAAAUCAAUGAUUGAGACAAUUUAAUCUGUGUGAACAAACGUGAUGGCUUAUUUGUCUCUUGUCUUAAUAAGUAUAUAAUACAUAUCACCUUAGAUGCACAUCAGACCACUCACGAGCAGUCGGUUUAUUAUGUUUACUAUGUGACCAGGGUAGUACUUGCAGUUUCUUCAAUAUCAUCUCAGUUGCAACUAUGGCACCUAGCAUUGAACUGGAUAGGAAAUUCUGUUUAUUAUGUUUACUCCCAAACUUUCAAUAUCAAUUAAGUCAGAAAUUGUUUUGCAGAUGGACCUAAUCAGGCCUGUUGUUAUUGCUGCCAUUGAGAUCCAAGUCUAUCAUUCCUCUUUGUUGAACGAAGGUCUUAGUGUGGAAGAAUGGCUGAUUGAAAUUCAACAUGUUAGUAUCAAGGAUCAGCUCACCGACAUGUUCGAGUCAUUUUGUUUCGGUAUUAAAUUCUUGUAAACAGUUCAUGUCGGGCAUGUCGCCGUGUCAUAUUCUUAUUUAAAUCAUAUUUACCUCCGUCCCAAAAAACAUGUCUUAUAUUUAUCUAGAUACAAACGUAUCUAACCCUAGAACUUUUUGGGACUAAGGGAGUAUAUACAUAAAUAAAGAGAAAAGUACAAAAACCAUAGAAUGGCAGGUUCUACGCUCGAAAAAAACAAUGUUCUCGGUGUUGUGAGAACAAUUCUGACAGUGAGAAAGGGGUAACAUGAAGGACCGUGGUCUAGCUACGAAGAUGUGACUCGGGAGAGUUACGAGUUCGGUCCACUUGCGGUGAGGUAAAGACCCUACAUGUUGCGAGAGUUACGAGUCCAGGGGGCGGCUAUAUAUAAAGUGCUUCACCCAUUGAGCUAGCUCAUUACACGGAGGGGUUGAGGGC